rnacentral:tRNA from 1 species
UCCCUGCUGGCUCAGCUGGUAAAGAACCUGCCUGCAAUGCAGGAGACCUGGGUUCAAUCCCUGGGUUGGGAA